CCACACAUUACCACCGACCUAAGGAGGUGACAAAUCCCCUACCCUGCUACAGCAAGGAAAGCAGAGUUAUUCAAACUCCUCCAUACAUCAACGGACAACACGGAGGCAGGGGAAGGCCCAGCUACAUCAACUCAGGUGACACCCAGGCUAUGCUAGCCUCACUCAUAAACUCAUGAGCCAAAAAAUUUUAUGACAGACUGGCAAUCUCGAGUUGGUCACCACAGCCCUCACAAGGCUGGGCCUCACGUUACUGUACAACCAGCACCAACCGAAACUCGGUUACCUGGUACAAUCAAUUCUUAUGACACACAAGAUGUUAACCCUGCACGUAUGAUCCCAGCACAUUGGGGAAGCAAGGCAUAUAUAUGUAUGAUGAUGUAUCUGUGAUGGUCAGAUUCAGGGAUUCCAGGUAAAUCGGGAACUGACCAUCUCUUGGAUGGGUUGGUAUUUGGAAUAUGUAGAGAUGUUUAUUUGUGCAGGUACCCAUACAGAAGGGGUUCUGUCCCAAACAAAUGGACGAGCACUCUCAGGCUCCAGGUACC